rnacentral:rRNA from 1 species
AGUGAACGCUGGCGGUAGGCCUAACACAUGCCAGUCGAACGGCAGCACAGUAAGAGCUUGCUCUUACGGGUGGCGAGUGGCGGACGGGUGAGGAAUACAUCGGAAUCUACUUUUUCGUGGGGGAUAACGUAGGGAAACUUACGCUAAUACCGCAUACGAUCUACGGGUGAAAGCAGGGGAUCUUCGCACCUUGCGCGAUUGAAUUAGCCGAUGUCGGAUUAGCUAGUUGGCGGGGUAAAGGCACACCAAGGCGACGAUACGUAGCUGGUCUGAGAGGAUGAUCAGCCACACUGGAACUGAGACACGGUCCAGACUCCUACGGGAGGCAUCAGUGGGGAAUAUUGGACAAUGGGCGCAAGCCUGAUCCAGCCAUACCGCGUGGGUGAAGAAGGCCUUCGGGUUGUAAAGCCCUGUUGUUGGGAAAGAAAAGCAGCAGGUUAAUACCCCGCUGUUCUGACGGUACCCAAAGAAUAAGCACCGGCUAACUUCGUG